CCUACGGGUGGCAGCAGUGGGGGAUAUUGGACAAUGGGGGGAACCCUGAUCCAGCGACGCCGCGUGAGUGAAGAAGUAUUUCGGUAUGUAAAGCUCUGUCAGCAGGGAAGAAAGCAAUGACGGUACCUGACCAAGAAGCCCCGGCUAACUACGCGCCAGCAGCCGCGGGAAUACGUAGGGGGCAAGCGUUAGCCGGAAUUACUGGGUGUAAAGGGGGCGUAGACGGCUGUGCAAGUCUGGAGUGAAAGGCGGGGGCCCAACCCCCGGACUGCUCUGGAAACUGUAUGGCUGGAGUGCAGGGGAGGUAAGCGGAAUGCCUAGUGUAGCGGUGAAAUGCGUAGAUAUUAGGAGGAACACCAGUGGCGAAGGCGGCUUACUGGACUGUAACUGACGUUGAGGCUCGAAAGCGUGGGGAGCAAACAGGAUUAGAUACCCGUGUAGUC
rnacentral:rRNA from 1 species